rnacentral:rRNA from 1 species
GGACUACUGGGGUAUCUAAUCCUGUUUGCUCCCCACGCUGUCGCGCAUCAGUGUCAGCAACUGCCCAGCAGGCCGCCUUCGCCACCGGUGUUCUUCCGGAUCUCUACGCAUUCCACCGCUACACCCGGAAUUCCACCUGCCUCUACAGUGCUCAAGCCCGGGAGUAUCGACGGCCGAUUCAGGGUUGAGCCCUGAACUUUCACCGUUGACUUCCCGCGCCACCUACGCGCCCUUUACGCCCAGUGAUUCCGGACAACGCUCGCACCCUCCGUAUUACCGCGGCUGCUGGCAC